rnacentral:misc_RNA from 1 species
UCCUAGUUAACCUAGGCAGUCUCACUAGAGUUCCCACCAUUACGUGUUGGCAACUAAUGACAAGGGUUGCGCUCGUUGCGGGACUUAACCAAACACCUCACGGCACGAGCUGACGACAGCCAUGCAGCACCUAUGUAAAGGCCCUUUCGGGAAACACUAUUUCUAGUGUCGUCCUAAACAUUUCAAACCUGGGUAAGGUUCUUCGCGUUGCAUCGAAUUAAACCACAUGCUCCACUGCUUGUGCGGGCCCCCGUCAAUUCUUUUGAGUUUUAUUCUUGCGAACGUACUCCUCAGGCGGCAUACUUAACACGUUAGCUCCGGCACAGCUAGGUUGAGUCUAGCUACACCAAGUAUGCAUCGUUUACGGCGUGGACUAC